UGGUUUUCCCGAUGGCACAUG
rnacentral:piRNA from 1 species